rnacentral:rRNA from 1 species
GUCCACGCCGUAAACGAUGUCUACUAGCCGUUGGGAGCCUUGAGCUCUUAGUGGCGCAGCUAACGCACUAAGUAGACCGCCUGGGGAGUACGGUCGCAAGAUUAAACUCAAAUGAAUUGACGGGGCCCGCACAAGCGGUGGAGCAUGUGGUUUAAUUCUACGCAACGCGAAGAACCUUACCAGGUCUUGACAUCUAGAGAACUUUCCUAGAGAUGGAUUGGUGCCUUCGGAACUCUAAGACAGUGCUGCAUGGCUGUCGU